rfam:Brachypodium distachyon strain Bd21 chromosome 2, whole genome shotgun sequence.
AUACUACUCCCUCCGUCCCAAAAUAAGUGACGUGGAAUUGUAUACUCUUAUACAAAUCCACGUCACUUAUUUUGGGACGGAGGGAGUAGUAU